UAAUGUUCACAUGUAAAAAGAUCAGGAUCUCUAUAUUGUGAAGCUUCCUCUUAAUUUCAUACACAUGAAAGAAAUCAGAGCAAAGUCUGUAAAAAUAUGUUUCUGAGAAGAAUACUUCAUUCAAAGUGAUGGCACCACACUGAGAAAGGAUGUGAGUCAUCGAUCGCCCUGAAAACCACACCGCAGGACAGACCGUCCUGCAGGUCUCGUCCCCGGAGAUGCUUGCAAACAUCUCUCUCUGUGUGAGAAAACGCACCCCAAAGAUGUUCUGCCGAUUUGGGGCCCUGCCGGGACAGGUCUCACCGUGUGUCUGAAGCAUUUAUCAGUGGAGGAAGGAGAUCAGCUCUUGGGUCAAGUUGGAGGGAAAGAGAGAAGAAACGCUGCUCCCCCGUGAGUGGGAACCCUUCAGUGCCUGCUCCUGGCUGUGGGCCCCUGAUUUGGGGGAGCAGGGGGGAGGCAGGGCUCCGGGCGGGGCCGGCAGCAGAUGGGAGACCUGGAGCUGAGCUGAAGCGCCCGCCCGCUCUCCCGGCUGGGGCCAGUGGGCAGGAGCCGGCCGCUGGUUCUGGCCAGUGCUCAGGGGAGGCGGCAGGGAUGAUAAGGGACAGCCCUGGUGCCACACUGAUCUGCUUUGUGACCUGGGCCUCGGUCCAAACUGCCAUCUCGUUCCGGGAAGAACGUCUUUCUCACGCCCCGGCCCCACCUGCAAGACAGGAGGAUGCGUGAAAAGCCAACACGCUGCGCUUCUCCCAAUCCGGAACCUCGGAUGCUGGCGCGAAGAGGCCGGACACCUGUGCCCAGUCCUGCUCCCCUUUAGGACGUGACCCCUGCUCACGGAGCCCUGUCUGGCAGCUGGCAUGCUCUGUCCGUGCUGCCCACCCGGUGCUACGUUGCUGUGAUGCCCUUGGGAGAAGACCCCUGGUCCCAGCCCCCCGAGGAUCCGGCUACAGCCCGUACCCUGCCCCGCGGAUGCUCCGAACCCUAGCAGACUGCAGGAGGGGCGCCUGUUACAAACAGGCGAUUGCUUGGUGGGAAACGACCCCAAAGAGAUCCACCGACUGAACCAAAGCCGGGCCAGGACGCCCGCAGAGCCCUUACUGACUGCCGUCCCCAGAACCCGCGGUCCGACGACAGCUCCACCCGGUGCUGGGCUGGGCAGGGCAGCCUCCCGGCACCCCGGAAUCUCCAGCUCACAUCCAAGAAAGAUGGACUUGAUUUUCACCAAGAAGAUCGCCUAAAAGUCCGACAAAGCGGUUUACAGCACUCGUGGUGCUGUUAGGGAACAUCACCGUAGCUGCCUCGGGAAAGCCUCCUCUCUCUCCCCUCUCCCAUCAGCAUCAGACCCCACUUUCGGGAACCACCGGCCAUGUCUGUCCACAGUGUCUUUGGUUCCUAAUGAAGAUUCCAAGGAAAAGAAAUGGAACAUUGAUAAGAUUUCCGAAGCAAUUUAAAUAAAAAGUUGCAGCUAGAGGAAACUUUCACAUACAAUAACAUACACAAUUUAACUAUCGAAGGUAAAAGGAGUGCCUUCUUAGGUAAAUUUUAUUUAAUUUGGAAGACGACUGUAUUGUAGCCUUGAGAUAAAAAUGGCCAGUAUGCAAAGCCCACCCAAUGAAAUGCUCCAAUUUUAAUGGGUCUAACUUACGUCCAUUUACUUGGCUCCCCCUUGCUGGUGUGUGACACAUACAUCUCUACUUUGCUUUUACCUUUCUAAUGACAGGAUUAAAUUGGCUAAAAAGUGUGUCACAUCCUAAGGGCUCAGUUAAAAUUCCAGCCACCCUCCUCGUAGCUCAGGGCAUGGAUUAGAGGUGGCUGCCAGAGGAGGGGAGUGUACCUCUGGACCUGUGGGGGUGGCUGGGCACCCCAGGCCCAGCAGUGGCCGUGGAGGUUGGCAAGGCUGAAUCGAGGACCUGUUGUCACUUCACUCUUGAAUUACUGAGUGGCAUGGAGCUGUCACCUGGACUUGUUCAUGUGUGGUGUGAUUGUGAAGUUCCCGUGUCCACGUGUUGGGUUAUGUGCCCAAUUGUCUGGUCAAGCAUGCACUGGACUGAUGGUUACUAUGAGGACAUUUCAUGGACUUAAAUCAUCAGUAAGUUGAUUGCAUCUAUGGCUGAUUGCAUCUACAAUCAACAGAGGAGAUUGCCUUCAGCAAUGAGAGAAGUCUCAUCCACCUGUUGAAGACUUUAAAUGGAGAACUGAUGACUUCAACAGUCAGAAGAGAGCAUUUCCAUCUCUACAUCAGCCAGCCAACUUCUCCUGGGGAAUUCACCGAAAACAUUCAUUGGCGUUCCCAGAUGGUGGCCUGCCCCACAGAAUUUGGAUUUCCCAUCCAUGUGAGCCAAUUCCUCUAAUGAAUCUUAUAAUAUUUAUAUAUAUAUAUAAUCGCACACGCACACACACGUAAAAUAUCCUGUUGGUUCUGUUUCCCUGGAGACACUAUUGCACAUGGGAUGGACACAUUGGAAAAACUAAUUACAAACCACUCUCCCAAGACAUCAAAUGUAAUACCUUCCAAGGAGAAAAAACAAUGUUAGAACAGAAGUGGAAAGCGGCACUUGAAGUCAGUCCCCACUGAGACGGCCAGGGGCCCAGCCGCGGGGACAGUUGGCCAGUGCUGCGGGGAGGUAUGUGUGUGCACACGUGUGUGUGUGUGCGCGAGUGCACAUGAGGCUGUAUUUGGCCUGCGGCUUCGCUAAAACCACAGUGUAGCAAGUUGGUUUGUUUUUUGCCCUUUUAACGCUUUGACCCUUCAAUUUUAAAAGGACCGAUGGUAGACAACGCUUGGCAGAAGCGAGGGAGCGGUGAGGACGCCUUUGAAAGACUUGGGACACCCUCUUCCCUGUUACAAUAGGUGGAGGAGAAUGGCCUUGGAGACCAGGCUAUGGAAAACUCCUGAGACAGCUUGGAGAGGGGAAAGAACCUCUUUUCGGCUGGAAAGUGUACAGGGGGUGCAGCUCCAAGGGGAGCAGGGCCCUACGGGGGGCUUCACCUCUGUCUGCCUGGGGAAGGUGGAGGGACACAGGCAAAUCCCGGCCGCAUCUGGGAGCACGGCUGGGCAUGAGUGGAAGUCAGACAUGCUAACCUCUGAUGGGCUCCAAACGUGGUCCCUCUGGGACCAGAGCGUCCCUGGCUGGACAAAGGCACACACCACGCAGACCAGUGCUCCCAGGGCCCUCGGGAGCCCGCGGCCUCCAGCUAGGACGUGCUGCUCCCUCUGGCCACUGCCCAUCACAUCUGCCCUUUGUGCCUUGUGAGGCCUCUAUUCCCCUUUUGUUCUGGCCAUCUUUCAGUCGUCCUAUUGUGGCUCCAAUGACCUUAGGUGACUCCGAGAAGAACAUUUUAUUUGUGACGGGUCCAUUAGGUGCAAGGUGUCCAGGCAAGUGCCAACCUCGGGCAAACAUCUGUGCAGUGUCAGUGCAGGCGAGACGAGCGGCACGCUCCGGGGCUGCCCCACACCCUCCCCCCAUCCCACCUGCAGUGAACCAACACCCCAGCCUGGUCUGGAAGCUUGAGGCUCCUGUGGAAAGUGCCAGCCCGGGCCCCACCA